UACGUAGGGGGCAAGCGUUGUCCGGAAUCAUUGGGCGUAAAGCGCGCGUAGGCGGCCCGGUAAGUCCGUUGUGAAAGUCAAAGGCUCAACCUUUGAACGCCGAUGGAUACUGCCGGGCUAGAGUCCGGAAGAGGCGAGUGGAAUUCCUGGUGUAGCGGUGGAAUGCGCAGAUAUCAGGAGGAACACCAAUAGCGAAGGCAGCUCGCUGGGACGGUACUGACGCUGAGGCGCGAAAGCGUGGGGAGCGAACCGG
rnacentral:rRNA from 1 species